GAUGAACGCUGGCGGCGUGCCUAAUACAUGCAAGUCGAGCGAAUGGAUUAAGAGCUUGCUCUUAUGAAGUUAGCGGCGGACGGGUGAGUAACACGUGGGUAACCUGCCCAUAAGACUGGGAUAACUCCGGGAAACCGGGGCUAAUACCGGAUAACAUUUUGAACCGCAUGGUUCGAAAUUGAAAGGCGGCUUCGGCUGUCACUUAUGGAUGGACCCGCGUCGCAUUAGCUAGUUGGUGAGGUAACGGCUAACCAAGGCAACGAUGCGUAGCCGACCUGAGAGGGUGAUCGGCCACACGGGGACUGAGACACGGCCCAGACUCCUACGGGAGGCAGCGGUAGGGAAUCUUCCGCAAUGGACGAAAGUCUGACGGAGCAACGCCGCGUGAGUGAUGAAGGCUUUCGGGUCGUAAAACUCUGUUGUUAGGGAAGAACAAGUGCUAGUUGAAUAAGCUGGCACCUUGACGGUACCUAACCAGAAAGCCACGGCUAACUACGUGCCAGCAGCCGCGGUAA
rnacentral:rRNA from 1 species